UGUUCACUUGCUUGCAGCCACAUCAGAGCUGUGUGAAGUUAAUGCUAAUGCAAACCAACCCAGGCAUCUAUCAGCACUGGAGGGAUUUAAACCAUGUAUAACGUCAACGAUUCCUGAAGCAGUCACAUGAGAUGUGUCCGCCUUAUUUACUUCUGCUGUUGGUGAAGAACCAAACGAGGUGAUGGCUAUUGACAACCACGUGGAACCACAGGAGAUCACGUUUUCACGGGGUUAUUCUGUGCUCAUGCAAAAACACAGCUGGUCAGGGGGAGAGUUGAUGAUGCUUUCAUCCUCCUUCUGUACUGAUGUGGGAUUUUGCAUCGAACUACAAAUGCGGCAGGAAAACCUCCCGUUAGCUGUGCUUCCCUGCUUCCUGCGUCCUGCUUUCUGAUGGAUGGUCAGGGAAGACCACUUGAGCCUUAUUGACUUCCGCCGCAGAUACUCAAGGCAGCGAAACAGCAGUUGGAGCGAUUAAGCAGCAAUCACAUUUGUAAUUAUGAUAAUGUUAAUUGAGCUUGUCAAGGAUGAAUAAUUUCAGGGGAGACAGUAAAUAUACCUAACAAGGCUUUUCUCAGUGGUAAACACGGUGCUUUAAAAACUGUAAUUAGCCUUUUAAUGUGUAACACAUGGCUUACAAGCCAUCCCUGGGCCUGAACUUCCCUGCUCUUAACCACUUUUCUCCGACUCUCGGUAGGACACACUUUUCACAUAGCUGGAAAUCUAACCACACAAAUAGGAAGCUUAUACCGCGGGCUGGGGUUGAAGCGAAGACCUACGCAUGUCAGCAGUUGUAGGACAAAUUGUUAUUUUCCUGUAAGCCCACUAUUUCUAUACCUUUAGCUGCUUGCAGUUCAUUUUGUGAAUAAUAUUUUCCUAGAUUUAUCCCAUUUUUGGUCACUAGGAAUUGAAAUUCCUUUGGGAACGGUUCAAAUAUAAGUGAGAGAGAUUGGCUGAAACUAACAAAACGUCGGCUUACCCUCAGGCACCAUGACUGUGUUCAACCCUUCGGUCUCUCUCCCAACUCCUCCUCAUGAAUCCCAAAGCCACCCAAACUGGUCGAGAAUUCCCCAUUUAGAGAGAGAGAGACACAGAUAAUUGGUCACAGAUUUUUUUUUUUUUUUUUUGUCAGUACAUCACAAAGAAACCUUCUAUUCACCCCUACACAGCUGUCUACUUCUUCCAUCGCUGCCCCCCUCUACUUGCAACCCUUUCAACGCUUCCUCACAAUGAUCUGCACCAUAAGGGAAAGGCUGAGGAGCUGCUAAUCGCCAAAAACACAACCCAUUUUUUCUGUGGCGCAAUAAAGCAGUUGCGACACAUGCCUCUCAUGACCCUGACCUGAAAGCCCCUCUCCAGCCGCCUUACGCCUUCGGGCAUCAGUGACAGCGAUUGGACAUCUGGAUCUGCACCUGAUGCAUGCCUCAAAGUGUUUUCACAAUCGAGAUUUUGUUCUUCAACACUCUAUCUGGACAUCAACUGAGCUGUAGCUGUUUACAACAAGAACAGUCGGAGCAGACAAAGCCGCCGACCCUGGAAGCGAGAGCCAAUGAAAAAAAGCACCCAAACACCAGGCAAAGCAGCUUUGACGUAGUAUUUCUCUGUAUUUUGCCAAGUACCUAAAAUAUGCUAAAGAUGAAGUGGAACUUGUUCUCUGAAUAGUUUUUUAACAUUUAAAUGGCUUGGUUACAGAUUUGUUGUAGAUUUUUUUUUUUUUUUUUUUUUCCUAGCAUCUUUGUCAUUGAGAUGUGGUGGCUGAAGAGGCCGUUAGCACAGAGAGCUCAAUAUCAGGUUCAAGAAGUUAGCCUCACUAACUUGCUCUAGUUAGUGAGCAAUUUAGUGAAUUGGCCUAUUCUCUAUUUGUGUUAACAAACAAUUGAACAAAUGUACAUGUAGAAAUAAUAUUGGAUACAUUCCUGUCACUCUUACACCAGUUUUGUCAUUUUUCAACAAAGUCUUGGCUCAGCAAAGUCAACAGAAAUAAUAAUAAUUAUAAAAGAAAAAAAGUCAUUCAUUCAUUUUAUUGUUCAAUUUGAUUUUAUUACAUAAUGUAGUGAGAAAUAUAGUGACUGUAAAAAUAUAGUUAGUCAGACUUUUAGAAGGCGUAGAGAGAAGAAAUCUGUUUAAACAGGAAAUGAGGGAGAGGAGAGCAACACGUUUCACCCUCGGUUUCCUGUACUUUCUCCUUUUUUCCUCCAAGCGUAAUGGAUUGCAUGUGCAGGGUUAGUCUCCUGUUAAACACCGAGAAGACAAAAACAGACACAGAUCAGAGGAGGGGAGGGGGAAAGGAGGUACAAAUAAGAUACUGAAUGGCUGUGAAAGAAGGAGAAAAAAAAUUCCCCCAAAAAA